AACGGUCUAUACCUGCGGUACCUGCGGAAGGAUCAUUACCGAGUGAGGGCCCUCUGGGUCCAACCUCCCACCCGUGUUUAUCGUACCUUGUUGCUUCGGCGGGCCCGCCGCAAGGCCGCCGGGGGGCUUCCGCCCCCGGGCCCGCGCCCGCCGAAGACACCUGUGAACGCUGUAUGAAGAUUGCAGUCUGAGCGAAAAGCUAAAUUUAUUAAAACUUUUAACAAUGGAUCUCUAGAUCGG
rnacentral:misc_RNA from 1 species